rnacentral:rRNA from 1 species
CGGCCGGGCAAGUCCGUCGGGAAAUCCACGCGCUCAACGCGUGGACGGCCGGCGGAAACUGCCCGGCUCGGGGCCGGAAGACCCAGAGGGUACGUCCGGGGUAGGAGUGAAAUCCCGUAAUCCCGAACGGACCGCCGAUGGCGAAAGCACUCUGGGAAGACGGACCCGACGGUGAGGGACGAAAGCUGGGGUCUCGAACCGGAUUAGAUACCCGGGUAGUCCCAGCCGUAAACGAUGCUCGCUAGGUGUGGCCCCGACUACGAGUCGGUGCUGUGCCGCAGGGAAGCCGUUAAGCGAGCCGCCUGGGAA